GACCUUGCGUCUACAGCCCAAGCGUUGAGCGAAAGGCUGAUGGCUGGUGGCUUUUGCCACCGGCCU
rnacentral:sRNA from 1 species